rnacentral:scRNA from 1 species
AAAUUAACCACACCGGACCGCUGUUUCUCAAC